GACGAACGCUGGCGGCGUGCCUAAUACAUGCAAGUUGAGCGCUGAAGGUUGGUACUUGUACCAACUGGAUGAGCAGCGAACGGGUGAGUAACGCGUGGGGAAUCUGCCUUUGAGCGGGGGACAACAUUUGGAAACGAAUGCUAAUACCGCAUAAAAACUUUAAACACAAGUUUUAAGUUUGAAAGAUGCAAUUGCAUCACUCAAAGAUGAUCCCGCGUUGUAUUAGCUAGUUGGUGAGGUAAAGGCUCACCAAGGCGAUGAUACAUAGCCGACCUGAGAGGGUGAUCGGCCACAUUGGGACUGAGACACGGCCCAAACUCCUACGGGAGGCAGCAGUAGGGAAUCUUCGGAAAUGGACGAAAGGCUGACCGAGCAACGCCGCGUGAGUGAAGAAGGUUUUCGGAUCGUAAAACUCUGUUGGUAGAGAAGAACGUUGGUGAGAGUGGAAAGCUCAUCAAGUGACGGUAACUACCCAGAAAGGGACGGCUAACUACGUG
rnacentral:rRNA from 1 species